rnacentral:lncRNA from 1 species
CUGCAUGCUGGGUGGUUUGUUCAAGAGAGGUGGCUCUGCUCUCCUGGACAUGUUUAUUUUUCAAAUUGACAAAGAGUAAAAGAUCUUUUCUGACAUUUUGCCUUGGGGGACUGGAUUAAAGGUUUACAGAACUUUCAGAAGGCAGCAAUGGAUUAAUUUGGAUGAGGGGCCCAGGGGCCUCUUGAAAGGGAAGAGACUGAGUAAUCUACAGGAGCUAGAGAGAAGAUAUCGUCUAGACCGAUUGGCCCGACUCUACCCUUUUUUCGUGGAGUGCAGUGGUGUAAUGUGUAGCGUACCUGGACUGUCUGGACUGGUCUACACUGGAGACUUGAUCUUGUGUCUUGUACUCAGAGAAGUGGACUGGGGAGAGUACCCUGAAGAGAGACAUGAGGACAUCUGAAAGGAGGAAAAAUGUCCUGCAAGGGGAGAAGAGGCUCACUAACAACGUGCCCAGCUUCAGAGUUUGAACCUUUGAUGGCAAUUGUUUUACUUAUCAGACUUUCAACCCUUCCUGAUUGUCAAGUGCAGCUAGUAGCUCAGUGAUUUAUACUGAAGAUGAUAAGGUGAAGCUCAGAUGUUACAGAUUUCCUAUACUAUAUGUAAUCUUCUAAAUCUUUUGUACUGUAUAUAAUCACACCAGUUCCCUUAAAAUUGUGACCUGAACAUGAGAAAACCUGAAAAAGUCAACUGUCCUGAACUGGCUCUGAACAUGUUCGUAUGAAACAGAAUCAUAACCUACCGUCUUUUAGAUCCAAAAACUUUGCUCCUCUUAGGUGAAGAUUGAUCUUGAGUGACUUAAUGCUCUAUGUGAGGUAGUUAUUUAAAGAAUUCAUUCUUGUCACAAAAUAGCACUUUUUAAAUAUAAUAAUAGUACAUAUUUAUCAUAAAAAUAUCAAAAAUAUAAGACAAUGAAAGAAAUAAAUAUGAAUUGCACCAUCCAGAGGUAACAACAGUUAGCAUUUCCUUUUCACCAUAGUGUGUGUGAGUGUGUGUGUAUCCAAAGAACACCAUAUCUUUGGACAUUUGAGUCAAACUGGCAAGAAAUUAGAAGGAAGUUGGAUUAUUCUCUCCUUGUCCCAUAAGUUCUCCAAGAUCACAGGUAGAUAAGCUAACUAUUUUGGUUCCAAAGAAUCAGCAACUGGGACUGAAAAACAGACGAAUAAACAAAACCCUGACCAGUCAAGAUGUGAAAUGAUUGUGCGGUCCAUGAUCUUCUGCAAGCUGGAAGCAUGCUGGAGAUCUGCUCAUAUGCUAAGGAGGGCAUUUCUCAAUGAUCUCUUCAGAUCUGAUCAAGGAAGAUAACGGGAGAAGAAGGACAUCCCAGAAUGGACUCAAGAGCCAUGGAGAACAAGACAGUGGACUUAUGAGCUACUCUUAGGGAGCAGAACUGGUACCCAAUCAAGGAGAAUUCACCAGCUUCAGAGUCUGGAGCCUUCACAACAUAUGCCCAGAGGAUGUCAGAGUUGUUAUGGACUGAAGUCUGCUGCCUUCUUCCCACUAUUCUCCUUUUUAAAUGGGAGCAUUAAUGGCUACAAUUCUGGCUGACUUCCACCCCUUGUGUAUUAACUAUGUGUGGGUUAGAUAACUUAUAAUUUACUUCCUAGGCUUCCAGCUCAAGAGGAGAGCCACAGCUGCACACAUGUGGACACAUUCAUAAGAUUCUAAACUUUGACCAUGUUGACUCUCUUGAGAGAGGAGAUGAAUCUGUCUUGGAAGGAAGGAAGUACAUAUUUGGGACCAAAAUGGAGAACUGUGAAAAUGGUUCUUCAUCAGUCAAUGUUCCAGGACAAAAAAGACCUCUAAUAGAUUGGAUCAUAGGCUAUGAAGGAUAGGUUGCCAGAUAUCGAAUGAAGACUACGUUUACAAAUGCAGUUAGGAUAAGCCUUUUACAGAACUGGAUAAGGAUAAGGAUAAGAAAAGGAUAAGCCUUUUACAGAACUUUGUAGAACCAGUUUCUUUGUCUAGUCAAUGCUGUUGGUAUUGGAUGAUUUAAUGAAAAUGCCUGAGGCUUACAGAUAAAAGGACUAUGGAACAAAGUUAUUACAUGGGAAUCCUUCCUGAAUAAUAUUUAUUGCGGAAUGUCCCUGGCACUAAGUAAAAAUAGAUAAAAUAUUAGCAUUUUCAAAACCCUAAUCUUAUGUCCACACAAGUGCCUUGCUCUUAUUUUAACUCGGGCUUAACACUGCUUGACAUCAGAAGAAGUACACCCAAUCCUCAUUUUUGGGCAAGAAGAACAAAUCGCUCUUCCUUGUUCACAAGACAGAUGGAGCAUCCAAAGAUCAGCUCUCUAUUGGGAACUCGGAAACCACUCACUCCCAGGCCUACCGUCUGCUUCUCUGUACAAAAGACAAAAACCACUAGGAGGAUCAAUUUUUAAAAUCAGACUGUUAUGGGUAGUUGAAAAUUUAAUUUGCCCCCAACAGAAAAGAAAAAGGAAGCCUGCAAAGCAGGAAUAAAGGAAAAUUUUUAACAUAUUAAAACUGGCUAUAUCUGUCAUGCUCAAUUGUGCAACAGAGCAAAAUGAGAUGAGCAUAUUAGUGGCAGUUGAGAAAAAUGGCUUUUCAAAUUCAGUUUUUUAUGAGGGUAAUUUAGUAAGAGUAGUAUAAGAGUCGUUAAGUACGAAAUACCAUAAACGUCAAUGUGAGUUGCAUUCUGCUUUUGUUUGGCUCACGGAGUGACAUAGCAUACCUUAAAUCUGAUGAAGAUGCUCUUUUGGAAACUAUAAAGAGAGAGGCAUUAACACAGACUGAGAGUGGCACUAGAUUCCCGGGGAAUAGGGCUCCUAAAACAACCUUUGCCUGUCUUGUUGAGGAGAUGGGAAGAGCUAAGAGGAAGCCUGUGCUUCCAACCCAUGAGUGGUGUAAAAUCAAGAAGAACCUUCUUGUGAGCCAGCCACCCACCUCCUACUGGGAACACAAGAGGAAUGUAGGCAGGAGCAGUGAGCUUGUGGAGGAUGAUUUCAAGCAGGGAGGCAGGCGCGAGGAAUGAAGAAUCCUCAGGCUGUGACAGAAGGAAAUGCAAGCCCAAACGCAGGUGUUGGCUCAGACUCCUAGAGGAUUACUUCGGUUAUUGUGUUGAGAUGGGAUGAAAAGGGAAAAUCGUCUCCUACUCCCUUGCCUCAGCCAGCCUGAAAAAUUAUGGAGUGUGAAGUGUAAUCCCUUGUAAAUAUUGGUUUGAAGGUCUCACCAACUCUAGAGAGUAUAAAAACCAAGAAAAUACACUAUAAAUCGAAGAUCUCAAUGGGAAAGUAUACUUUUAUGAGUCCACGUUUAUUGAAUAUUUGCUGAGCUGAGGACAGUAUGACAAAUUUGACCUCUGUCCAGAUACUUCGUAUUUUGGACUCGCUGAAGUUCAUUUUAGUUUCAUCACAGGCCUUGCCCUCAGAAAAAAAGACUCAGUCCUUCCUACUUGCUGUACACUAGCAUCCUCCUCGUUCUUUACCAAUAUUUCUCCAACCCUGCAUAAAAAGAUGUGGCCACACCAUCUAAUCUGAUCUCGUCACAACUUUUUCGUGUAAAUUUUCUUUUUUAGCCAUUUGGUUCCUCUGAAAAUUGGCCAGUGUUGUCUCCCCUCCAAGUUUUUGCUUCUCAGUGUGUCUUCAUCUGCACUUCCAAUUGUCCCUCAAAUUUUAGCAACAUUGAGCUGAGCCUCUAAAGUUUUCUAAAGUUUGGGUCGGGUCAUCUUUCUCCAGUCUUUCUCAGCUCUCCAGCUUACACGGAUGGCCCCUUUCUCUAAAUCUGUAACCUCCACUCUGACCUCUGAGACAGCCAUAUCUGCCCUGGAGGUUUUCUCAAGGACAUUCUGAUUUCCUUGACUGUAGAUUCCAUUGUAUCCAACAUAGAAUUUUGUUUGCUUUUAUGAAAUUUUAUGUGUUGUGUGGCAGCAUCUGUGCUGUGUUAUGUGUGUGUGUGUUUGAGUGUGUGCACAUGCACACUAGGAGAGGGAACGGAAGGUUCCAUUUUUCCCUACUCUCAUUCCAAGUUGCACGUGUUUAUCCACUCUUUCAUCCAUGCUUGACGGAAACAUCAGUGAACAAUGACUACUAACCCCCUUGUCACAUCAGAGGCUAUAGUGGGCAGACACCCUCCUGUCUUGCACCAUUUCUCUCUGUUUCUCCUCUGCUUGAACAACCUCGGUUCAGAGAUGGGGUGGACAUAGCUGGCUCAGUGGUUGCAUGAGAUCUGUAGGAUGGCCUCUAUACUCAAUCAGUGUCAGGCAUUCUAAGAUGAGCUUGGGCAAAGGAAGAAUCUCCAGUUUGGAAAACAGAAGAUGGUAACUCCCCAUUCCUCUAUUUAAGGAGGCAGAAUCCGUUUAAACAUCAUAUCCUCUUGUUUAUGGUCUCAUUUUCACUUAUUCAUUCAUUUAUUCAAUUAUUUACUUACUACUUGAUCUGUCAUAUAUUAAGAUCUACUCUGUGUGAAUAAAUUUAGUCAGGAGGUGUAGCGGUUAUCUAUUGCCAUCAUAAUGCUGCAUAGCAAAAAAAUCAUAAAACCUCAGUAGCAUACAACAAUACAUAUUUAUUUAAUUCAUCAGUCUGUGAACCAAAUGGGCAUUUUUUCUUGUCUGAGCCAGACUUGACUGAUCUCAGCUGAGCUUACUCAUUUCAUUUAUCCGUCAUCAGCAGGCAGUUUGACUGGGGACCAGCAAGUCUAGGAAGGCCUUGGCUGGGACAGAUGAGACAGCUUGGAUCUCUUUCUUGUGGUCUCUCAUCCUCCAGCACAUUAGUGUGGCCUUGAUCACAUGAUGGUGAGAAUCUAAGACAACAAUGUGGGUGAACAAGACCUUUUAAGAUGUAGAAAUGGCACAAAGUCACUUCUGUCAUAGUCUAUUGGCCAAAAGUGGGUCAAAAAGACUCAGAAUCAAGGUAGGGGUGGAGUGAAUAGGAAAUAAACUCCAUCUCUUUAAGAGAGGAGCUGCAAAGUCACAUUGCAAAGGACGUGGAUUCAGGGAUGCCAUUUGGGCCGCCCAUGUAACCAAUCUACCACAAGGAGACCGAGAGGCAAACCUCCAGUUGGAAUAUAAGGACUACAAAAGGAAUGUGUGUACAAUGGUCAGGGAAAAUUUUUUAGAGUGUUCUUCUACCUUGAAUAAAUCAUUUUUAAAGGAACAAGAGGAAGAAGGAUGUAGGAAAGAAGCCAAUAAACUAUUUCUGCCCUUCUUUUCUCCCCCUUUUCCACAAUACUCACAAAGGCACUUACUAUGGGAGAUCUUGGUGGCAUUCAAAAUUUGCCUGGGGCAGCCACCCCAAAGCAGUGGGACUGAAUCCUUUUGGAAGUCAGAUCCUGUCUGCAGAGGUGAUGUGAAUGCAUUUAUUGUUUCUGUAGCAAAGAAGAUGCUAUUUGGAAACUAAGCUCUUGUUGAAUACUUCAGAUGCUUUCCUGGGUCUUCAGGGAAGUCUUCUCUGGGUUACUUUUUGUUUUUGAAGUCAGUAAUGGACUCUAAGCUUCAUUUCAGUUUCUCAUUCUGCAUUUGUCACUUGAUCUCAUUAGACUCCUGGGUCUCACUUGUAUAUCUGAUUUAGACUUCUGUCAACUCUCAAGGCAGAGAUGACUGCCUGUUGUAUUUUACAGAAUUUAGCAAAUGCUAGUUGUGGGUUUAAAUCAAUGAGUCUUGCACUUUCUCAUCCUGCAAUUCAGAACUUUCAGCAUCAUACCAACAGCCUAUCAAAGAGUCAAUUGCUGUUUAUCUUCGGGUGCUGUUACAGGAAAAGAACCAAUUAGAACUUCUCAACUGCAGUCCCCUUGGACAUGGCUAUAGCCCUUAGCAAAGGCAAAUGAGGAGGUGAAGGAAGUGACUGCAUGGUUGAGGGAACUAGUUAACCCUGAAGAGGUGUUCUAAACACUUGAGUCACAAUCUGCCUGUCCUUUUUUGAACUCCCAACAGUAUCCUGUUCUCAGAAGAAAUAGCAAAUUGAAAUGGAUCUGGCUCUAAGGGUCUCAUGCUACUGGAAUGGUGUUGCAGCAGGAUUUUCUUUAGAAAUAUUUAAGAAUAAAGUAGACAAACUCACAUUUUCUAGACUAGAUGGGUUCUGUGAUACCAUGUACCAUAAAACGUUUUUUGAGAUUAUCAAUUUUCCUUAUUUCUUUGCUUUUGACACACUCGUCUUGGUUUAAGUCUACUUUCUUAACAAAGGGUGUGUGUGAAUUUGUGUCUACACAUACACAUGGUGCUCAGAUUGAGAAAUAAAUCUGAAAUACAUUUUGAAAACCUCAAGUUCAAACCCUUUAUUUUACAGGUGACUAAACAAAAUUAGACAGGAGAAAAAAUAUCUUGCACAAUAUCUAGCUAGUUAUUAGUUGUGUGUGAGGGGUGUUCUGACUCUCAGUGCAUUCAAAUUGCAUAAUUUAUAGAAAUCUUGUUUUAUGCAUGGAAUGGCUUAGAAAUGGUGGAGGCAUCACCCAGAAACUUGUACUAUAGUACAAGUUGGAAGUAAUGCUACGUACCGACCAAGUGCAGAGAGGCGUAUGACAUAGAUGCAGAGCCAGCUGAAAGAGGAGGCACAGCAUGUGCUAUCUACAUGACAUAAUUUAGACCAUAAGUAAAUCUUCCCAGUCCAAAAAUAUUCCCACUAUUACUACAGUGGCCAUCCUUUCCAGUUUGCCUAGGAUAAUCCUGUUUUAUCCCUGUUGUCCUGGCGUGAUUAACUUUUACUUUAAAACAUCUCCCUGUUUAGACAAUACAUUAUUCAGUCACACUAGCUAUCAAGAAAGUGGGAGAGACACCAUUACUUUAUGUCAUAUAGGGUUUUCAAUUUCCAAAAUCCCUUACACUCAUUUAAUAGAAAUAUUAUUUAGAGGUCCAAAACAUCAAAAAAGCUUAUCAUCUACUGAAAACAAUUAGCAAGACAGGACUUGAUGAAUGUGAGGGAAAUAAUGAAAGAGAGUCUUUGAAAGGGAAGUCACAAGACCACCAAAGACAAACUCCUCCCACCUUCCCUGGUGCCAGAGCCAAUGUCCAGUGUGAAGACUGGUCACCUGGCAGAUGGCAUGGGGCCAACAGAAUGUUUAUUGCUCGCCUGAUUUAAUAAAGAGACAAAUCCCCCCUCGUUCUCUAAGCUGCAAAAGCCAAUAGAAGUCUUAGAGUAUUACCAAGGCCUAAGGAAAUUGUUUUCCUUUAAAACAUUCCAUCAAUGCUUUAAUUGAUUGUUUAAUAGUUGCUCUUUUAAAAUAAUUUCAUAAGUAUUCAAAGAUUUAAUUUAUUCAUCAGGUUGCCCCCUCCAUCCUCAUCUUUCCUUACAACUUUUGUUGCAGAACUUGUGCAUUUCUGUAGAAACUGUAGAGCUUCUCACACUCCACCUGUUUAACAUGCACCUCUGUCCUGUGUAUCUCUUGUACAUGGGCAGCUGGGUCCAAAAGCCUGAUUGGACUAUAGGUGGCGGUGUACUCUUUCAUCAGGAGGCAAAUACUGUCGGGUUGACUGUCAUUUUGUGAUGUUAGCAGCCGUUUAUGCUUGUUGCCUAAUUCAGGGAUCAGCAAACGUUUUGAGUUCAGCUAUGUCCUUACUGGAUCUGUCCACUUUGGAAAGAGGGGUGUUGAAGUCUCCAACUAUAAUAGUGGAUUCAUAUUUCUCCUUGCAGUUCUAUUAGUUUUUACCUCAUGUAUUUGGAUGUUCUGUUGUU